rnacentral:lncRNA from 1 species
GGAUUUUGGUGAAAAUUAGUGGAGCUUAGAAUCUUGUUUCUAUGAUCCUAAUAGUUGCUAUAUGAUAUAUACAGGUUGUAGUGAAAAUUAGUGGAGCUUAGAAUCUUGUUUCUAUGAUCCUAAUAGUUGCUAUAUGAUAUAUACAGGUUGUAUAACUAUUUAUUUCAUGAAAAAUGAUGGAUUAAUGUGGUUUUAUGAUGAAAAUUCUUGUUGGACAGUAGCAUUUUCGCAACAACAGUUUUUCUGGUUUUUGACAACAUUUUCGCAACAACAAAU